rnacentral:rRNA from 1 species
GAUCCUGGCUCAGGAUGAACGCUAGCUACUGGCUUAACACAUGCAAGUCGAGGGGAACCAGGAUUCCCUCUUGCUGGAAUUGGUGGCGACUCUAAUCACGAUGGCUGACGCCUGUCCGACCUCCAUAAGACACAGGUCCCACCUUGUUAAAGGCAUAUCAUCGCCUGUACUAUAUCGACACACAUCUAACUCGUAAGUAUUCAUGUUCAUGCUGUGACCGGAAUGCGUUCCAUUAGAUAGUAGGCGGGGUAACGGCCCACCUAGUCGACGAUGGAUAGGGGUUCUGAGAGGAAGGUCCCCCACAUUGGAACUGAGACACGGUCCAAACUCCUACGGGAGGCAGCAGUGAGGAAUAUUGGUCAAUGGAUGAGAAUCUGAACCAGCCAAGUAGCGUGAAGGAUGACGGCCCUACGGGUUGUAAACUUCUUUUGAAAGGGAAUAAAGUGUGGUACGUGUACCAUAUUGUAUGUACCUUUGGAAUAAGCAUCGGCUAACUCCGUGCCAGCAGCCGCGGUAAUACGGAGGAUGCGAGCGUUAUCCGGAUUUAUUGGGUUUAAAGGGUGCGUAGGCGGACGCUUAAGUCAGUUGUGAAAGUUCGAGGCUCAACCUUGGAAUUGCAAUUGAUACUGGUCGUCUAGAGAUUACAUAAGGUAGGCGGAAUUCGUGGUGUAGCGGUGAAAUGCUUAGAUAUCACGAAGAACUCCAAUUGCGAAGGCAGCUUGCCGGGGUACAUCUGACGCUGAGGCACGAAAGUAUGGGUAUCAAACAGGAUUAGAUACCCUGGU